rnacentral:rRNA from 1 species
UACAGAGGUCUCAAGCGUUGUUCGGAUUCAUUGGGCGUAAAGGGUGCGUAGGUGGCGCUGUAAGUCGGGUGUGAAAUCUUGGAGCUUAACUCCGAAACUGCAUUCGAUACUGCCGUGCUUGAGGACUGGAGAGGAGACUGGAAUUUACGGUGUAGCGGUGAAAUGCGUAGAUAUCGUAAGGAAGACCAGUGGCGAAGGCGGGUCUCUGGACAGUUCCUGACGCUGAGGCACGAAGGCCAGGGGGAGCAAACGGG